rnacentral:rRNA from 1 species
CAUGCUAGUCGAGCGAGUUGAGACUCGCGGCGCAUAGCUCAGUAACACGUGGCCAAGCUACCCUUCAGUCAGCGAUACCCUCGGGAAACUGAGGUUAACAGCUGAUACAAAACGCCAGCUGGAAUGCGGCGUUUCAGAAAGAGACCGCUGAAGGAUGCGGCUGCGGCCGAUUAGGUAGACGGUGGGGUAACGGCCCACCGUGCCAGUAAUCGGUACGGGUGAUGAGAGUCAGAGCCCGGAGACGGAAUCUGAGACAAGAUUCCGGGCCCUACGGGGCGCAGCAGGCGCGAAACCUUUACACUGCACGGAAGUGCGAUAGGGGAAUCCCAAGUGCGAGGGCAUACUAGCCCUCGCUUUUCUCGACUGUAAGGUGGUCGACGAAUAAGAGCUGGGCAAGACCGGUGCCAGCCGCCGCGGUAAUACCGGCAGCUCAAGUGAUGUCCCAUAUUAUUGGGUCUAAAGCGUCCGUAGCUGGCCGACCAAGUCUCCCGGGAAAUCCACCCGCCCAACGGGUGGGCGUCCGGUAGAAACUGGCCGGCUUGGAACCGGAAGGCUCAGAGAGUACGUCCGGGGUAGGAGUGAAAUCCCGUAAUCCCGGACGGACUACCGAUGGCGAAAGCACUCUGAGAAGACGGCUUCGACAGUGAGGGACGAAAGCUCGGGUCUCAAACCGGAUUAGAUACCCGGGUAGUCCGAGCUGUAAACGAUGCUCGUUAGGUGUGGCACCCACUACGAGUGGGUGCUGCGCCGUAGGGAAGCCGCUAAACGAGCCGCCUGGGAAGUACGUCCGCAAGGAUGAAACUUAAAGGAAUUGGCGGGGGAGCACUACAACCGGAGGAGCC